rnacentral:lncRNA from 1 species
AGGAUUUUAUUAAAUGACAUUUGUAAAGUAGAUUUUAGGCAAGAGGGCUAAAAGAAAGAGGGAAGUAUUUGGAAAGAAAGAACCCUGAAAACCCAGGUGUGGGCUUAUCUUUGUAGGAGUUAUGUAGUAUUCCAUUUUCCAGUGAGGGCAUUUGUGGUACUUGAAGCCUUCUCACCACUGUAAGUGGCACCAUUGUUUCCCAUUCUCGUGGAUGUUUGCCUCACAGUACAACUGUAGAGUGGAAAGGAAAUUCUAUAUUUAACUUACUGAUGACUGCCAACCUGUUUUCCACAGCAGCAGAACCACUUUGUAUGAAAGUUCCUGUUUCCCCACACCCUUCACAAUACUUCUUAAUUUCUGAGUGUUUAUUUUUUUAUUUUUACUUUUUUAUUGGAUAUUUUCUCUUUUUUGAAGUUUCUUAUAAGAUUUUUUUCCUUUUUCCUUAUUUACGUUUCAAAUGUUAUCCCCUUUCCUAGUUUCCCCUCUGAAAAUCCCCCGCCCCCCGCCACCCGACCCCUCAUUCAUCAACUCACCCCCUCCUGCUUCCUGGCCCUGGCAUUCCCCUAUACUGGGGCAUAGAACCUUCACAGGACCAAGGGCAUCUCCUCCCAUUGAUGACCAACUAGGCCACCCUCUGCUACAUAUGCAACUAGAGACAUGAGUCCUAAUAUGUGUACUCUUUGGUUGGUGGUUUAGUCCCAGGGAGCUCUGGGGGUAUUGGUUAGUUUGUAAUGUUGUUCCUCCUAUGGGGCUGUAAACCCCUUCAGUUCCUUGGGUCCUUUCUCUAGCUCCUUCAUUUGGGACCCUAUGCUCCGUGCAAAGGAUGGCUGUGAGCCUCCACUUCUAUAUUUGUCAGGUACUGGCAGAGCCUCUCAGGAGACAGCUAUAUCAGGCUCCUGUCAGCAAGCUCUUGUUGGCAUCUGCAAUAGUGUCUGGUUUUGGUGGUUGGAUAUUUUCUUUAUUUCCAUUUCAAAUGUUAUACCCUUUCUUGGUCUUCCCCCGAAACCCCCUAUCCUAUCCUAUCCCCCCUCCUGCUUCUAUGAGGGUUCUCACCCACCCACCCACCCACUCCCAUCUCCCUGCCCUGGCAUUCCCCUACACAGGGACAUUGAGCCUUCACAGGACCAAGGGCCUCACCUUCCAUUGAUGCCCUACAAGGCCAUCCUCUGCUACAUAUGUGGCAGGAGCCAUGGGUCCCUCCUGUACUCUUUGGUUGGUGGUUUAGUCCCUGGGAGCUGGAGGCGGGGGGGGGGGGCUGAUUGGUUGAUAUUGUUGUUCUUCCUAUGGGGUUGCAAACCCCUUCAGUCCUUUAUCUAACUCAUCCAUUGGAGACCCUGUGCUCAGUUCAGUGGUUGCUGUGAGCAUCUGCCUCUGUGUUUGUCAGGCUCUGGCAGAGCCUCUCAGUAGACAGUUGUAUCAGGCUUCUAUCAUCAGGCACUUGUUGGCAUCCAUAAUAGUGUGUGGGUUUGGUAACUGUAUAUGGGAUGGAUCCCCAGGUGGGACAGUCACUGGAUGACCUUUCCUUCAGUUUCUGCUCCAAACUUUGUCUCUGUAUCUCCUCCCAUGGGUAUUUUGAUCCCCCUUCUAAGAAGGACCGAAGUAUUCAUACUGUGGUCUCCCGCCGAUGCACAGGCCUAUGUAGAUGGUUCUUGUGUCAAUUUUUUUUCUUUAUCCUUUUACUUACUGGAAGCACUCUAAGGCUUCUCUUUUGCAUAUUCAAGUUGUCAGCAUCCUGACUCUUUUACUUGGGAGCCAUUUUAAAGCAAAAUAAGGGUUACUUGCAAAAUGUCACUGCAGUACCGGCAAAGUCAAUAUGAUAGCUAAGAUGUUUGUAAUUUAUAUUUCUAAUAGUGAAUGAAUAUUUUAAAGAUUUAUACCAACUUCAAAGUCUGAUGCACAGCUGCAGUAAUAGAAACAAUAUGACGUGCAGUGGUUUGUUUGAUUAGUCCUACUUUUUGCUUUUUUACUUUCGCUGCUGCUGGUUUUUAUGUUAACUCUUAAGGAUUCAUUGCCAGAUCCACUGUCAUGAACUUUUCAGUCAUGUAUAAUUCUAGAAUUUUUAUUGUGGUAGAUCUUCCAUUUUAUUGUGAAUACAUUUAAAAUUAAUAUUUGUGUACAGUAUAAGGUAAGAGUCCCGCAUCAUUCAUUUGCAUGUGCAUAUCAAUUUUCCCAGCAGUUUGUUUCUCAUAUCUAGUCUUGGACUCUCUUCAAAUACCAUUUCAUCAUUAUUUUUUUCCUGCUCUCUAGUCUUCUCUAUCUGUUCCACUGGUGUGUAUGCCUUUAUGGUAGUACUACAUUAUUUUGCAUAUAGUUCUGUAAUAUGUUUUGAAAAACUCAGGCUUCAGCAUUUUUCUUUUAGGAUAAAUUGUAGGCAAGAUUUUUGGGUACAGAUUUCCUGCUAUGGUCAAAGCUAUUUGACUUGAGUGAUUGUCAUCAUUCUCAGCCCACAAGGAACAGGUUACAUUCAUUUAAGAAAUGGUGUGCGUAUUAAGAUGAGACCAUGAAGUCAUUCAUUAACUGUUUCAAUGAACAGUGGUUCCACUUGGAGGGUGGCACAGACAUUAGGUGAGGGUAAGAUUGUUGUUCAUUGGCUGUGAUGAUUUUGAAAAGCAUUCAUCUCAGAAUAAGAGUAAUUUGUAAAGUCCUCUUCUUCAAAAUUGAUACAGUAAUUAUCAACAUCAAGCAAAGCCUUCAGUCUCACUCUUUGCUGUUCUCUUACAAGCCACCCCCAAAUUAAUUGUCUACAUUUCUUUUGGCUGUAUAAAUAAUUUUGAAAUAUGCAAUUGUGAAGCAUGGUGAGGUCAGACCAUAGCCUAUAUCAAAAGGACACAGUCUUCACCAGAUUAGAAUAAACACCAAGUGGUCUGAGAGCUACUUUUGCUUUGUUCAUGUGUUCCUUUGUAUGACACCAAGAUUCUUCUUUAUUUCUAACAACUUUAACUUUUGUACUUUAACAGCUUAAGUUGUCACUUACUGUAGAAAAACUGUGUGAACAGCAAGUAAUGAGGUUUUAGAGCUAAUAUGGCUUUCAGCUUAUUAUCAUAGCCUAUAAUAUAGCAUUUACAUUCAUUAAAACAGCUGAAAACAUAAUGUAGUUUUCUUUUAUUAAGCUUACUUUGAUUUUUGAUUUACUAAUUUUGAAAUUGCAGAAGGCCUUCUUGUAAAAAUUCUACUUAAAAAUAGAGCUUUAGUGAAUAAAAACACAGAUUUCAGUGGUUGUUGUAUUGGAAAGCCAACUGUUUUAUUCUUUUCAAGUUUCAUUUAACUAAACUUUGUUAAUAUUAUUUGGAUGACAUUUUCAAUGGCUUGUUAACUUGUGUUUUAGUUGCCAGCAAAGACAGUUGCUUUUUUUAAGUUCAAGAAGUGAUUUUACAUGGAAUCAUAAGGGUUUUUUUAAUCUCAUCACUAAGAGAAACGGUGGGGAUAAUGCAUUCUGCUUUACUAAUUAUACAGUUGAGAAACCAAAGAAUCAUGUAGUUGUUAGAAUAGUGACAUAAUGAAUGAACCAGAACUGAGCUCCUACUUUAGAGUAAAAUGCUUCUCCUACCAUGUCAUUUGGGGAUUUUUGAAUUCAGUUCCUGUAAGCAGACAUUUAUGUAUAUUAACCCUCUAGUUCUUGACAUUUUGACCCAAGGCUACUGCAGUAAAAAAUGGCUUAGGGAGUUGAGUGUGGUAUCACACACCUUUAAUCUUAGCACUCAGGAGGCAGAGGCAGGCGAAUCUCUUGAGUUCCUGGACAGCCAGGGCUACAC